CCUACGGGUGGCAGCAGUGGGGAAUAUUGGGCAAUGGGCGCAAGCCUGACCCAGCAACGCCGCGUGAAGGAAGAAGGCUUUCGGGUUGUAAACUUCUUUUCUCAGGGACGAUACAAGUGACGGUACCUGAGGAAUAAGCCACGGCGAACUACGUGGCAGCAGCCGCGGUAAUACGAAGGUGGCAAGCGUUAGGCGGAUUUACUGGGUGUAAAGGGCGAGGAGGCGGGACUGCAAGUCAGAUGUGAAAACCAUGGGCUCAACCUGUGGCCUGCAUUUGAAACUGUAGUUCUUGAGUACUGGAGAGGCAGACGGAAUUCCUAGUGUAGCGGUGAAAUGCGUAGAUAUUAGGAGGAACACCAGUGGCGAAGGCGGUCUGCUGGACAGCAACUGACGCUGAGGCGCGAAAGCGUGGGGAGCAAACAGGAUGAGAUACCCGAGUAGUC
rnacentral:rRNA from 1 species